rnacentral:rRNA from 1 species
AUUGAACGCUGGCGGCAGGCCUAACACAUGCAAGUCGAGCGGAUGAAGGGAGCUUGCUCCUGGAUUCAGCGGCGGACGGGUGAGUAAUGCCUAGGAAUCUGCCUGGUAGUGGGGGAUAACGUCCGGAAACGGGCGCUAAUACCGCAUACGUCCUGAGGGAGAAACAGGGGGAUCUUCGGACCUCACGCUCUCAGAUGAGCCUAGGUCGGAUUAGCUAGUUGGUGGGGUAAAGGCCUACCAAGGCGACGAUCCGUAACUGGUCUGAGAGGAUGAUCAGUCACACUGGAACUGAGACACGGUCCAGACUCCUACGGGAGGCAGCAGUGGGGAAUAUUGGACAGUAGGCGAAAGCCUGGUCCAGCCAUGCCGCGUGUGUGGAGAAGGUCUUCGGAUUGUAAAGCACUUUAAGUUGGGAGAAAGGGCAGUAAGUUAAUACCUUGCUGUUUUGACGUUACCAACAGAAUAAGCACCGGCUAACUUCGUG